CCUACGGGAGGCAGCAGUGGGGAAUAUUGGACAAUGGGCGAAAGCCUGAUCCAGCAAUGCCGCGUGAGUGAUGAAGGCCUUAGGGUUGUAAAGCUCUUUACCAGGGAUGCAGUACCUGGAGAAUAAGCCCGGCUAACUCCGUGCCAGCAGCCGCGGUAAUACGGAGGGGCUAGCGUUGUUCGGAAUUACUGGGCGUAAAGCGCACGUAGGCGGCCAUUCAAGUCAGAGGUGAAAGCCCGGGGCUCAACCCCGGAACUGCCUUUGAAACUAGAUGGCUUGAAUCUUGGAGAGGCGAGUGGAAUUCCGAGUGUAGAGGUGAAAUUCGUAGAUAUUCGGAAGAACACCAGUGGCGAAGGCGACUCGCUGGACAGAUUGACGCUGAGGUGCGAAAGCGUGGGGAGCAAACAGGAUUAGAUACCCUUGUAGUC
rnacentral:rRNA from 1 species